GAUGAACGCUGGCGGCGUGCCUAAUACAUGCAAGUCGAGCGAACGGACGAGAAGCUUGCUUCUCUGAUGUUAGCGGCGGACGGGUGAGUAACACGUGGAUAACCUACCUAUAAGACUGGGAUAACUUCGGGAAACCGGAGCUAAUACCGGAUAAUAUUUUGAACCGCAUGGUUCAAAAGUGAAAGACGGUCUUGCUGUCACUUAUAGAUGGAUCCGCGCUGCAUUAGCUAGUUGGUAAGGUAACGGCUUACCAAGGCAACGAUGCAUAGCCGACCUGAGAGGGUGAUCGGCCACACUGGAACUGAGACACGGUCCAGACUCCUACGGGAGGCAGCAGUAGGGAAUCUUCCGCAAUGGGCGAAAGCCUGACGGAGCAACGCCGCGUGAGUGAUGAAGGUCUUCGGAUCGUAAAACUCUGUUAUUAGGGAAGAACAUAUGUGUAAGUAACUGUGCACAUCUUGACGGUACCUAAUCAGAAAGCCACGGCUAACUACGUGCCAGCAGCCGCGGUAAUACGUAGGUGGCAAGCGUUAUCCGGAAUUAUUGGGCGUAAAGCGCGCGUAGGCGGUUUUUUAAGUCUGAUGUGAAAGCCCACGGCUCAACCGUGGAGGGUCAUUGGAAACUGGAAAACUUGAGUGCAGAAGAGGAAAGUGGAAUUCCAUGUGUAGCGGUGAAAUGCGCAGAGAUAUGGAGGAACACCAGUGGCGAAGGCGACUUUCUGGUCUGUAACUGACGCUGAUGUGCGAAAGCGUGGGGAUCAAACAGGAUUAGAUACCCUGGUAGUCCACGCCGUAAACGAUGAGUGCUAAGUGUUAGGGGGUUUCCGCCCCUUAGUGCUGCAGCUAACGCAUUAAGCACUCCGCCUGGGGAGUACGACCGCAAGGUUGAAACUCAAAGGAAUUGACGGGGACCCGCACAAGCGGUGGAGCAUGUGGUUUAAUUCGAAGCAACGCGAAGAACCUUACCAAAUCUUGACAUCCUUUGACAACUCUAGAGAUAGAGCCUUCCCCUUCGGGGGACAAAGUGACAGGUGGUGCAUGGUUGUCGUCAGCUCGUGUCGUGAGAUGUUGGGUUAAGUCCCGCAACGAGCGCAACCCUUAAGCUUAGUUGCCAUCAUUAAGUUGGGCACUCUAAGUUGACUGCCGGUGACAAACCGGAGGAAGGUGGGGAUGACGUCAAAUCAUCAUGCCCCUUAUGAUUUGGGCUACACACGUGCUACAAUGAACAAUACAAAGGGCAGCGAAACCGCGAGGUCAAGCAAAUCCCAUAAAGUUGUUCUCAGUUCGGAUUGUAGUCUGCAACUCGACUACAUGAAGCUGGAAUCGCUAGUAAUCGUAGAUCAGCAUGCUACGGUGAAUACGUUCCCGGGUCU
rnacentral:rRNA from 1 species